rnacentral:rRNA from 1 species
AGAGUUUGAUCCUGGCUCAGGAUGAACGCUGGCGGCGUGCUUAACACAUGCAAGUCGAACGGGAAAUACUUUAUUGAAACUUCGGUCGAUUUAAUUUAUUUCUAGUGGCGGACGGGUGAGUAACGCGUGGGUAACCUGCCUUAUACUGGGGGAUAACAGCCAGAAAUGACUGCUAAUACCGCAUAAGCGCACAGAACCGCAUGGUUCGGUGUGAAAAACUCCGGUGGUAUAAGAUGGACCCGCGUUGGAUUAGCUAGUUGGCAGGGCAGCGGCCUACCAAGGCGACGAUCCAUAGCCGGCCUGAGAGGGUGAACGGCCACAUUGGGACUGAGACACGGCCCAGACUCCUACGGGAGGCAGCAGUGGGGAAUAUUGCACAAUGGGGGAAACCCUGAUGCAGCGACGCCGCGUGAAGGAAGAAGUAUCUCGGUAUGUAAACUUCUAUCAGCAGGGAAGAUAAUGACGGUACCUGACUAAGAAGCCCCGGCUAACUACGUGCCAGCAGCCGCGGUAAUACGUAGGGGGCAAGCGUUAUCCGGAUUUACUGGGUGUAAAGGGAGCGUAGACGGCGCAGCAAGUCUGAUGUGAAAGGCAGGGGCUUAACCCCUGGACUGCAUUGGAAACUGCUGUGCUUGAGUGCCGGAGGGGUAAGCGGAAUUCCUAGUGUAGCGGUGAAAUGCGUAGAUAUUAGGAGGAACACCAGUGGCGAAGGCGGCUUACUGGACGGUAACUGACGUUGAGGCUCGAAGCGUGGGGGCAACAGGAUAGAUACCCUGGUAGUCCACCCGUAACAUGAAUCUAGUGUAGGAGCAAGCUCUUGUGCGC